rnacentral:rRNA from 1 species
CCCUUAGAUGUCCUGGGCUGCACGCGCGCUACACUGAUGUGUCCAGUAAGCACCUAACCUCUUCCGAAAGGAAAGGGUAACCUUUGCAAAGCACAUCGUGAUGGGGAUAGAUUAUUGCAAUUAUUAGUCUUGAACGAGGAAUUCCUAGUAAGCACAAGUCAUCAGCUUGUGUUGAUUACGUCCCUGCCCUUUGUACACACCGCCCGUCGCUCCUACCGAUUGAAUGUUCCGGUGAGCUCUUCGGACUGCGCGGUCUGCAGUUUCUGCGUUCCGUGCGGAAAGUUGCGCAAACCUUAACAUUUAGAGGAAGGAGAAGUCGUAACA